GCGCGUGUAGCUCAGCGGUUAGAGCAGUCGUCUUAUAAGCGACAGGUCGAUGGUUCGAAUCCAUCCACGCGCACCA
rnacentral:tRNA from 1 species